GAGAGAAGGCAGGGCUGAAAUACGGUGUGGCCAUGGCACAGGCUCCUUCCCACAGCUUGGCUCAGCAGGAUGGUUAGAUUUCCCACGCGUCAAAAGAAUGCUGAGGAAGGUACUGGGCCUGGGCUGACUUGCUGUGCCCCCCUCUGCCCCCCGAAGAUAGCCACCCUCUGGAUGAGGGUCUCCAAGCAACAAGAGUUUGUGAGGCCUUCACAAUGAACAGAAAGCUGCAGUUUCCUCCUCUGUAUUCUUUCUCCACUCCCACUCGCCUCAUGUACCCCACUGACCCAGGUAUGAGAAACCCAGCCUGCACCUUCUAUAGCACCACAUGCCUAGACUGAGGAAAGAUCCACAAAUGCCACUCUUCUUCGAAUAGCCUACCUUCAUGAAGUCUCACCAACCCGCUGAAUAUGGACUCCAACGGUGCCCUAGGGGAUGGUGGAGCCACCAGAUGGAAGGAGCCUGGUGAUCCCGAGAAGGAGAGAUGCCUCGCUGACCUGAACAUCUUUCCAGAACUGUUAAAUGAAGCCUGCAGGACACCAGCUGACAGUGGAAGGACUGAGGAAGGUUGUAUAAUUUUGUGCAAGGUCCACCACAAAUCCAGCUGAAGAACUGCUCCAAAGUUUAGGUCAUGGCAAGAACAAGACUGGAUCACUCCAUGUCAGUGGAAACAUGUCCACCAACUUCAUCAUUGUCUGUUGUCAUGGUUCACUUUAGAUGUAAACUUGACUGGAUUAAGGAUUCCCUAAAGUGUCAGGCCUCUGAGCCCAAGCUAAGCCAUCAUAUCCCCUGUGACCUGCAUGUACACAUCCAGAUGGCCGGUUCCUGCCUUAACUGACGACAUUCCACCACAAAAGAAGUGAAAAUGGCCUGUUCCUGCCUUAACUGAUGACAUUAUCUUGUGAAAUUCCUUCUCCUGGCUCAUCCUGGCUCCAAAGCUCCCCCACUGAGCACCUUGUGACCCCCACUCCUGCCCACCAGAGAACAACCCCCUUUGACUGUAAUUUUCCUUUACCUUCCCAAAUCUUAUAAAAUGGCCCCACCCCAUCUCCCUUUGCUGACUUUCUUUUCAGACUCAGCCCUCCUGCAACCAGUUGAUUAAAAGCUUUAUUGCUCA
rnacentral:lncRNA from 1 species